UUUCUGGCAGCGUUGAAUUCAGUACUGAAAGGUACAGCUAAGGAUUGGUGGGAAGCAGAGCGAAGCUACAGUAGAUAGGUAGUUGGGAGUGAUUUAAAUCUGUGUUCCUGAGUUGAUUCCUAUCUGAAUACUAUGAGGCGGAGGCUGUAAAAUGCACCUGGGAGAGGAUACAAGGCCCACAGGAGAGUAUCAGAGAUUUUGCAUUUCUGCUGAGAGCACUUUGUUUAAGGUGGUGUGAGGGAAUUCAAGAAAAAGACGUACUGCAUCACGUUUUCAGGAACAGCAAUCCAGGAUUAGAAGGCUUGCUGAGAGGAUCUGUAAGUAUGUUCGAUGAGCUGGUUCGAGUUGGGACACAUGUAGAGACAGACAUACAGGCAGGCUCCUAAGUUCUACACAAGUUAGUGAAGCCAAACUGCAAAAGAAGCCUGCCCCCUUUUCAGCUAAGUGGAAAGAAACAGCAGGGAAAUAUGAGCAUCUUACAGACAGUCAGUGGUGACGCACUUUCUUCAAAGCCCAUUAUGCUCCCUGUGGUGAUGAGAUCAGUUAAUAUUUCUGCUCUCCUUGACACUGGAAGUACAUACACCCGUGCAGGAAAACCCUUGAGCCAAAAAAUCAAAAGGCCCCAGGAAAGUUGCAAGCAUGUCAUGACUGUUCCUUUAUGUUAGCAAAUGGACAAGCUAACCCAGCCAUGGGACAUGGGUCACGUUGGAAUGCAGUCUACAUGGGCAGCAGUGGGUGCUAAAUAUCUGUGUCAUGAAAGAUCAGCAUAUAGCUGUUCCCGCCAUUAUUUGGUUGGAUUUUUUUAACAUUAUUUGGUCUGGUUCUAAAUUUCAAGAAUGCCCAAUAUGGUCUCCCAAGAGGAGCACAGAAUUCUUACUAUUCCUUUUACCAACAGGAGUCACCAGACAGUGGUUCGUACUCUGCCUAGCUAUAUCUAGCCGUUUCAGUUGCUUUCCUUGCACCAUUGCAGCGGAAGCUUUUCCAGAAGAGAAGGCUAUGGUAGUGAAGACCAGAUGUGAAGGGUCUGAAGCUCAAAAGAAAAGGUUAGUUUAGGAGGCAGGCACCAGUCUGCAUUUUUAUGAACGGCUUGAUCUCCUCCUGCACAAACGGUCCUCAGUGUGCCCUGACAUUUUGGGAUGCACCACGACUGUCACCCAUCGCAUCGUCACCAAUGAUGAAGUCCCUAUAAGCAAAAAGGUAUAUCGGGUCUCAUUCCAGAAACAAAAUAUUAUGGCAUCCUUUGUAGGCGACAAGCACGACACUUGGAACAGGCGGCUCUCGGAAUUUCGGUUCAGAAUCAAUUCUGCAUGGCAGGAGUCAACAAGUUUCACACCAGCUGAAAUUGCUCUUGGAUGCAAGCUCGAAGGUCCUUUGGAGCGGCUCAUCGGCAAAGCACCCAAUCCCAGCCAUUACUUGAAAGGCACCAGAGAAUGAUGGAGCAAGUCAAACACAAUGUCAAGGAAGCACAAAACAAAACAGGCCCACUAUUACAACUCAAAGCGGUUGUGUUUUCCUGUGGCGAUCCGGUGUGGGUCUUUACAUUGUCUAAGGCUAGUGCCAAUCACAUGGAAAUGCUGCCUCUAUGGAAAGGGCCUGGCAAAAUACUCAAAAGGUUAGGGGCCGUGAAUUACUCGGUAACAUUUCUCUCUGAUCCUGACCAUAGUGAAUUGUAUCGUGCUGAAUUUUAAAACUUACUUUGGCCCGUUGGCCUUUCCUUGCAGGCAGGGGCAUAUGUAACUCUAAUGUUCCAUGAGUUUUUGUGUUGUAUGAAUUCUGUUUCCCUUUGUCUAACUCAUAUUCACUUAUUCUUAGAAUGAGCUCAGUCUGCUCAAUCUAGGACCCUGGGUAGACAGAUUGGAGGAAAGGGGAGGAGUUCAGGAAAUGGUGGGAAAAAGUAGACAAAAAAAGAAGGGUGUGGCUGGUUAAGGUGGAGGGCAGAAUCAACUAACUAGGAAGGCGGUGCUUAGAGGCCUAGUUUUAUCUCUGUCUCAAGUAGCUGAUCUGCUUAAAAAGUCUUGAGAAAAAAUUUGUAAUCACAAGGUUGAAAAACUUUAUUUGUGUGGAUUGUUGGAUUCCUUGGAUUGCCAUGACUGUUGGAUUGUUUGGACCUGUUUUCUGUGUUUGUUUGAUACUCAUUGUGGGACCCUACCAGUGGUGGAGACUUGACUUGCAGAGGAACAGACGAAACGGCUCUCGCCCUCAAAAUCUCAGAAGGCACGAAAGUGAAAAUGUGUGCUGUCAGAUCGCUUUCCAAGAGCGCUUGAACCUGCUUACAAAGUCACAGCCCAACUGGCGGGUCCCUAGUACACGUCACCUGAGCCUGCAGCAUUCCACCUGAAUCAGCCAGGUCUUGAUCGGUGACGCGUUCCGUAAAGGCGGGGCACUCACUCGACGACGCACUUCUCGUUCAUGAUGUUGGCCUUGAAGCCGAGCACGGCGAACACCACCAGGGUGGCGAGUAUGGAGGUGAUGAAGUUGAUGACGGAGACCAGCAUGGCGUCGAAGUGGCAGUUGUUGUCGCGCUUGUUGUAGCUGGAGAAGGCGAUGACCCCCCCGAACCCGAGGCCCAGGGCGAAGAACACCUGCGUGGCGGCCUCCCUCCACACCUGCGGCUCCAGCAUCUUCUCCAGCUAGGGGAGGGUCACAGAUCACGGGGUCACAUGGUCAUGAGGUCACCAGAGGGAGACAGGUACCGUACGUGUGGAGUGAAGAGCUUCAUCUCCUGUGCAAGCAGAAGCCCCCGAACCAGGAAGCAGAAGAGCACCACGUAGGGGAAGAGAGAGCUGAAGUACAUCACCUGAUACAGGACACAGACAGGACUGGAUGCCCUUGAUGACGGCCAGGCAGACGAUGACCCAGGCGGCCAGCAGGGACAGGGUCAUCCUCCAGUUGAGGCCGCCGCUGUCGGCGAUGGUGCUGGUGAUGUUCAGCGU